CUCUUAAUAUAGGAUCCCUAGUUCGGGCCAACUGCCAUUUAAGUUUUUUCGGCAGCAAUGUGAAUAAAAUGCAAUAUGUAUUGCAUUCUAAAAUCAAAAAUAAAUUGGUUUAGAAUACAUAAAUACGUAUACCUCCUAAGAUGAAAAUAAGUACGCUAUUUCAUUAUCGGAUUCGGCUGAACCGCGGAACGUUUGUGAAGGAACAGGAAUGCAGCACCACCGGAAAAAGCAGAUCCUCUGGACAUGGGCAAAGAUUCAGCACCAAACAAAAAUCAUUCCAGAGGUUUUUGUUGUUCUUAGAUAUAAUUGUGAAAAUUUGAAGAAGCAAUUAUACAAGAAAUUUUAACUUGGAAAGCAAUGAUUUAUCAAGCCAUAAUCAUUUUAUUAGGAAAUUAUUAUCAUUAGGCAAUUUAAAAAAAUCGUUGAUAUUUUUUAAUAAAUUAGGAAAACUUUUUAAUAAUUAUAUAAGAUAAUAAAUAAAAUAUGAUGAAAACUU